rnacentral:rRNA from 1 species
UGGGGAAUUUUGGACAAUGGGGGCAACCCUGAUCCAGCCAUGCCGCGUGAGUGAAGAAGGCCUUCGGGUUGUAAAGCUCUUUCGGCGGGGACGAAACGGUCCGUGACAACACCACGGACUAAUGACAGUACUCGCAGAAGAAGCACCGGCUAACUACGUGCCAGCAGCCGCGGUAAUACGUAGGGUGCAGGCGUUAAUCGGAAUUACUGGGCGUAAAGCGUGCGCAGGCGGCUCCUUAAGUCAGAUGUGAAAUCCCCGGGCUUAACCUGGGAACUGCGUUUGAAACUGAGGGGCUAGAGUGUGGAAGAGGGGGGCGGAAUUCCAGGUGUAGCAGUGAAAUGCGUAGAGAUCUGGAGGAACACCGAUGGCGAAGGCAGCCCCCUGGGCUAACACUGACGCUCAUGCACGAAAGCGUGGGGAGCAAACAGGAUUAGAUACCCACGUAGUCCCUGAGCGGGCUGGCAAGGCGCAU